CCUACGGGUGGCUGCAGUGGGGAAUCUUCCGCAAUGGGCGAAAGCCUGACGGAGCAACGCCGCGUGAUCGAAUGAAGGCCUUCGGGUUGUAAAGAUCUGUUGACAGGGACGAAUAAGCAAUGCGAAUAGUUUUGUGUAUGCAGGUACCUGUUUAGACAGCUCCGGCUAACUACGGGCCAGCAGCCGGGGUAAUACUUAGGGAGCAAGCGUUGUCCGGAAUUACUGGGCGUAAAGGGCGCGUAGGUGGGGGCGUAAGUCAGGUGUGAAAACUCCGGGCUCAACCUGUAGACUGCCCUUGAAACUGGGUGUCGUGAGGGCAGGAGAGGAAAGUGGAUUUCCGAGUGUAGCGGUGAAAUGCGUAGAUAUUAGGAGGAACACCAGUGGCGCAGGCGACUUUCUGGACUGUACCUGACGCUGAGGCGCGAAAGCGUGGGUAGCGAACGGGAUUAGAUACCCGGGUAGUC
rnacentral:rRNA from 1 species